AAUUCGAUGAUACGCGAGGAACCUUACCUGGGCUCAAAUGUAUGUUGACGUAUUCUGAAAGGGAUACUUCUUCGGACAAUAUACAAGGUGCUGCAUGGUUGUCGUCAGCUCGUGCCGUGAGGUGUCGGGUUAAGUCCCAUAACGAGCGCAACCCCUAUCAUUAGUUGCCAUCAGGUCAAGCUGGGGACUCUAAUGAAACUGCCUACGCAAGUAGUGAGGAAGGUGGGGAUGACGUCAAAUCAGCACGGCCCUUACGUCCAGGGCUACACACGUGCUACAAUGGCCGGUACAAAGGGCAGCUACCUGGUGACAGGAUGCUAAUCUCAAAAGCCGGUCUCAGUUCGGAUCGGAGUCUGCAACCCGACUCCGUGAAGUUGGAAUCGCUAGUAAUCGUGGAUCAGCAUGCCACGGUGAAUACGUUCCCGGGCCUU
rnacentral:rRNA from 1 species